rnacentral:rRNA from 1 species
AUGAACGCUGGCGGCGUGCCUAAUACAUGCAAGUCGAGCGAACAGACGAGGAGCUUGCUCCUCUGACGUUAGCGGCGGACGGGUGAGUAACACGUGGAUAACCUACCUAUAAGACUGGGAUAACUUCGGGAAGCCGGAGCUAAUACCGGAUAAUAUAUUGAACCGCAUGGUUCAAUAGUGAAAGACGGUUUUGCUGUCACUUAUAGAUGGAUCCGCGCCGCAUUAGCUAGUUGGUAAGGUAACGGCUUACCAAGGCGACGAUGCGUAGCCGACCUGAGAGGGUGAUCGGCCACACUGGAACUGAGACACGGUCCAGACUCCUACGGGAGGCAGCAGUAGGGAAUCUUCCGCAAUGGGCGAAAGCCUGACGGAGCAACGCCGCGUGAGUGAUGAAGGUCUUCGGAUCGUAAAACUCUGUUAUUAGGGAAGAACAAAUGUGUAAGUAACUAUGCACGUCUUGACGGUACCUAAUCAGAAAGCCACGGCUAACUACGUG